rnacentral:rRNA from 1 species
UACGGAGGGUGCGAGCGUUGUCCGGAAUUACUGGGCGUAAAGCGUGCGUAGGUGGUUUGUUAAGUCUGCUGUGAAAUCCCCGGGCUCAACCUGGGAAUGGCAGUGGAUACUGGCAAGCUAGAGUGCGGUAGAGGGUAGUGGAAUUCCCGGUGUAGCGGUGAAAUGCGUAGAGAUCGGGAGGAACACCAGUGGCGAAGGCGGCUACCUGGACCAGCACUGACACUCAGGCACGAAAGCGUGGGGAGCAAACAGG